rnacentral:rRNA from 1 species
UUGAACGCUGGCGGCAGGCCUAACACAUGCAAGUCGAGCGGUUGAGGUAGCUUGCUACCGAUGCAGCGGCGGACGGGUGAGUAAUACAUGGGAAUCUGCCUGGUAGUGGGGGACAACGUUUCGAAAGGAACGCUAAUACCGCAUACGCCCUACGGGGGAAAGGGGGGGAUCUUCGGACCUCUCGCUAUCAGAUGAGCCCAUGUCGGAUUAGCUUGUUGGUGAGGUAAAGGCUCACCAAGGCGACGAUCCGUAACUGGUCUGAGAGGAUGAUCAGUCACACUGGAACUGAGACACGGUCCAGACUCCUACGGGAGGCAGCAGUGGGGAAUAUUGGACAAUGGGCGCAAGCCUGAUCCAGCCAUGCCGCGUGUGUGAAGAAGGCCUUAGGGUUGUAAAGCACUUUCAGUGGGGAGAAAGGUAAUUCACUUAAUACGUGAGUUAAUUGAUGUUACCCACAGAAGAAGCACCGGCUAACUCCGU